AGUCGAACGGUAACAGGUCUUCGGAUGCUGACGAGUGGCGAACGGGUGAGUAAUACAUCGGAACGUGCCUAGUAGUGGGGGAUAACUACUCGAAAGAGUAGCUAAUACCGCAUGAGAUCUACGGAUGAAAGCAGGGGACCUUCGGGCCUUGUGCUACUAGAGCGGCUGAUGGCAGAUUAGGUAGUUGGUGGGGUAAAAGCUUACCAAGCCUGCGAUCUGUAGCUGGUCUGAGAGGACGACCAGCCACACUGGGACUGAGACACGGCCCAGACUCCUACGGGAGGCAGCAGUGGGGAAUUUUGGACAAUGGGCGAAAGCCUGAUCCAGCAAUGCCGCGUGCAGGAUGAAGGCCCUCGGGUUGUAAACUGCUUUUGUACGGAACGAAAAGCCUGGGGCUAAUAUCCCCGGGUCAUGACGGUACCGUAAGAAUAAGCACCGGCUAACUACGUGCCAGCAGCCGCGGUAAUACGUAGGGUGCAAGCGUUAAUCGGAAUUACUGGGCGUAAAGCGUGCGCAGGCGGUUUUGUAAGACAGUGGUGAAAUCCCCGGGCUCAACCUGGGAACUGCCAUUGUGACUGCAAGGCUAGAGUGCGGCAGAGGGGGAUGGAAUUCCGCGUGUAGCAGUGAAAUGCGUAGAUAUGCGGAGGAACACCGAUGGCGAA
rnacentral:rRNA from 1 species